ACACGACUACAUUAGAUACCCGUGUAGUCCAGGGUGUAAACGCUGCGGGCUUGGUGUUGGGGGUCCUUUGAGGGCGCCCAGUGCCGGAGAGAAGUUGUUAAGCCUGCUGCUUGGGAGUACGUCCGCAAGGAUGAAACUUAAAGGAAUUGGUGGGGGAGCACCGCAACGGGAGGAGCGUGCGGUUCAAUUGGAUUCAACGCCGGACAACUCACCAGGAGCGACGGUUACAUGAAGGCCAGGCUGAUGACCUUGCCUGAUUUUCCG
rnacentral:rRNA from 1 species